GAUCCUGGCUUAGGAUGAACGCUGGCGGCGUGCCUAACACAUCAAGUCGAACGGACGCGUCCCUUCGGGGAACAAGUUAGUGGCGGACGGGUGAGUAAUGCAUGAGCAACCUGCCUCAAAGAGGGGGAAUAACACAGAGAAAUUUGUGCUAAUACCGCAUAAUGUGCAUAGAAGGCAUCUUCUAUGCAAGAAAGGAGCAAUCCGCUUUGAGAUGGGGCUCAUGUCUGAUUAGACAGUUGGCGGGGUAACGGCCCACCAAAUCUACGAUCAGUAGCCGGACUGAGAGGUUGAACGGCCACAUUGGGACUGAGACACGGCCCAAACUCCUACGGGAGGCAGCAGUGGGGGAUAUUGCGCAAUGGGGGAAACCCUGAUGCAGCGAACCGCCGCGUGAGUGAAGAAGUAUUUCGGUAUGUAAAGCUCUAUCAGCAGGGAAGAUAAUGACGGUACCUGACUAAGAAGCACCGGCUAAAUACGUGCCAGCCGCUGC
rnacentral:rRNA from 1 species